AUUGAACGCUGGCGGCAUGCCUUACAAAAAAAGGGCGAACGGCAGCACGGGCGCAAUGCAGGUGGCGAGUGGCGAACGGGUGAGUAAAGUAUCGGAACGUGCCCAGUCGUGGGGGACAACGUAGCGAAAGUUACGCUAAUACCGCAUACGAUCUAUGGAUGAAAGCGGGGGAUCGCAAGACCUCGCGCGAUUGGAGCGGCCGAUAUCAGAUUAGGUAGUUGGUGGGGUAAAGGCUCACCAAGCCGACGAUCUGUAGCUGGUCUGAGAGGACGACCAGCCACACUGGGACUGAGACAAGGCCCAGACUCCUACGGGAGGCAGCAGUGGGGAAUUUUGGACAAUGGGCGAAAGCCUGAUCCAGCCAUGCCGCGUGCAGGAUGAAGGCCUUCGGGUUGUAAACUGCUUUUGUACGGAACGAAAAGGUUUGGCCUAAUAAGCUGAGCUCAUGACGGUACCGUAAGAAUAAGCACCGGCUAACUACGUGCCAGCAGCCGCGGUAA
rnacentral:rRNA from 1 species